rnacentral:rRNA from 1 species
AUGAAUGGUUCAAUUGUACCUGUUUCAGUUGCAAGCUCUAAAGAACAUCAACACUCUAUGAUAGAAACCGCCGUGCAACGAGAAGUGUUCGGGCAACUACAGCUACUCCUUGAUGAUCAUGAGUGCUCAAAAAGAGAAGCAAUUGAGGAUCAGCACAAAACAGCAAGGGGUCUGUUUGAAAAUCCUAUGAUGUCCAAAGCACAGGAGAAUUCACUCCNNNNAGAGAAAAAUGAGCUAGAGGAAAGACUAACCAGAGAAAAGGCUGGACUCGAAAAGGAACGCCUCCAUUUAUACAAUGAGCUACAGAAAGCAAAUGAGCAACGAGCAGAACUUGAGAACGAGCUUCUGCAGGCAAACUCCCUAAUGGAAGAGCUACAGCAGCUACAAUCUUGUCUCCUCUGGCGGCUGAAGAGAGAGCUGCAAAAGGCAAAUGAGCAAAGAGCAGAACUGGAGAACCGUGUAUUUGGCCCUACUAGUGAUGUUGCCUUAACAGAGUUCACCUACACAGAGAUAAAUGAAGCGACGGACAACUUUGAUGACUCCAAAAAGAUUGGGGUCGGUGGGUGUGCAACCGUCUACAAGGGAUUUCUACGACAUACUACCGUAGCCAUAAAGAAAUUCAACCGUGAAGACGCAACAGGAGAUAAAGAGUUUAAUGACGAGGUAGAAACACUCUGUAGGAUGAGGCAUCCAAACCUUGUGACCCUCAUAGGAGUGUGCACGGAGGCCAAAGCGUUGAUCUUUGAAUUCUUGUCAAACGGAAGCCUAGAGGAUUGUUUGCAGUGCGCGGACCAAAGAGAGACACUCUCAUGGAGAACGCGCAUCAAAAUCGCUGCCGACAUCUGCACGGGACUUAUCUUUCUCCACUCCAACAAACCAAAAGGCAUUGCACAUGGUGAUCUCAAGCCUGACAAUGUCCUUCUCGACGCGAGCUUUGUUUGCAAACUGGCAGAUUUUGGGAUCUCUCAUCACUUGAAUGUAACAAACACCACUAUCACCCCGUAUCACCGAACAAACCAAAUCAAGGGCACAAUGGGAUACAUGGACCCGGUAUACAUUGCCUCAGGGGAGCUCACAGCACAGUAUGACGUCUACUCUUAUGGAGUAGUGUUAAUGCGAUUGCUAACUAAUAAGAGCCCCCUAGGCCUUCCACAUGUUGUUGAGGCAGCCAUUAGAGAAGGCACGUUGCAAGAUCUAAUUGAUACUUCAGCUGGGGAAUGGCCACUUGAGUGUGCUGAAGAGUUGGCAAGACUAGCACUGCGUUGUUGCCGGUUAGAACGAAAGGAGCGGCCCAAUCUUGCAAAGGAGGUCUGGGGUGUCUUGCAAGCUAUAAUGAACUGUCAAGACCAAAAAUGUGGGCCACCAACGUUUUUCAUCUGUCCGAUGACACAGGAGAUCAUGAGGGAUCCACACAUUGCUGCCGAUGGAUUCACAUAUGAAGGCGAUGCCAUAAAGGACUGGUUUCAAAUGGGGAACAAAAUUUCCCCCAUGGCCUAUGUCAACUUCGCACACCAUGAGUUGAUACCAAACAAUGCCCUUCGUUUUGCAAUUCAAGAAUGGCAAAAGCGACAACAACCAUGA